GUUAUAAUUUAGUAAGCUGAAGCUCAAAGAAAGAACAUGAAGAAAAAGGUCUUGGAACUCUAGAGAACUUGCAUGCCUAAUAUAUUUUAGUUUUGGUCUGAUGUGCAGAAUGUUAUUUGCCCAAGUACACAAGUUCUUUUUCCUGUUUCAAGGUGCAAAUAGGUUUGGUGAAUUUAGAAACCGAUUUUGUCAGAUAAUUAUCCUGUUUGGUCUGAUCAAAAGUUGGUGCAGUGUGUAAAACCCUUAUUCCACAACUUCUGCUACCCACAUAGAUACACAGUUGCACACUUAUAAAGCCUCUAAACUUUCCCUCCAAUAUACAAAACAAAACAAAAAUGAAAUUGGUUUCUGGCAUUGAGGCAUGGUUUUUUGACAUUGCACCUCCAAAAAACUGUAUUUUUAAUUAUGUGCUAUCAUUUUAGUGAUUGACAUGACAGAGACAUGCUUCUAUUACAUGGAAACAUUGUGUGAUAUGAAAUAUGAUUUUAUUGGUACUACUGCUUUUUUCAAGGAUAAAUUUUGCUCUCUUAUUCUAUGCCAUGCCAUUUUGUUAUGGUGAAUGUACUUGCAUUGUUAAAACAAAUUUGAUGUGACAUUUUUGUAACAAGAGUAAAUUCAGUAUGGUGAUGCAAACUACUAGAGCCUUUUCCCUUACUGUUCUGCUUGAUCAACCAAUGAAACCUUGCUUAGCCUACUUUUUAAUGCUCCGAUGGCCUUGGUUCUGACCUUUCUGCCUCCAGUGCAAUGUUUGUUUGAUCCAUAAAGGGCUCUAUAUGCAACCUCUUUCCCCAAGUGAGAUUCAGCUGCUUUGUUGCCGUCUGGUGAUCUUUUGAUUUGCUGCCACUGGAGGUGACUGAAAUUUCCACAUUUGCUUUCUCCGUCACCAUUCCUGUUCAACAGUAUUUAGUUGUUGCAAGGAGUGAAGAGCCAAUUGAAGAUGUCUGACAUCCAUGGCAGGUUGCUGGUCUUAUAUGGUUUGAAAAGGGUGAUCCAUUAGGCAUAUACCCUUUGGGGGCUACAUCUGGAAAUGGCAAUGGAAUCAAGUGUUCGUAAAGAGCAGCUCAGGUUAAAGUUGUCCAUAGCCGCUGAAAGGGAAGCCCUUGUUCAACUCUUUUAGCAGUUGAAUUUGAAUUCGGAGUAGACUUUUGCCUGGUUAUAGAUGCUCUGAAACUCGCAAGAUUUUUCCUUGAAUAGAGAAGAAUGGGUUCAUAGGAUGAGACUUAAAUUUUGUAGUUAGUGUACGUUUAUUGAGGUCACACUUUGUUGGAAUUGGUGUAUUCUCAAGAGAGGGGUGAAUUUGGUAUUUAAAAA